rnacentral:rRNA from 1 species
CUUUUUACAGGCUUAACACAUGCAAGUCGAGGGGCAUCAGGAAGAAAGCUUGCUUUCUUUGCUGGCGACCGGCGCACGGGUGAGUAACACGUAUCCAACCUGCCCUUUACUCGGGGAUAGCCUUUCGAAAGAAAGAUUAAUACCCGAUGGCAUAAUGAUUCCGCAUGGUUUCAUUAUUAAAGGAUUCCGGUAAAGGAUGGGGAUGCGUUCCAUUAGGUUGUUGGUGAGGUAACGGCUCACCAAGCCUUCGAUGGAUAGGGGUUCUGAGAGGAAGGUCCCCCACAUUGGAACUGAGACACGGUCCAAACUCCUACGGGAGGCAGCAGUGAGGAAUAUUGGUCAAUGGGCGCUAGCCUGAACCAGCCAAGUAGCGUGAAGGAUGAAGGCUCUAUGGGUCGUAAACUUCUUUUAUAUAAGAAUAAAGUGCAGUAUGUAUACUGUUUUGUAUGUAUUAUAUGAAUAAGGAUCGGCUAACUCCGUGCCAGCAGCCGCGGUAAUACGGAGGAUCCGAGCAUUAUCCGGAUUUAUUGGGUUUAAAGGGAGCGUAGGUGGACUGGUAAGUCAGUUGUGAAAGUUUGCGGCUCAACCGUAAAAUUGCAGUUGAUACUGUCAGUCUUGAGUACAGUAGAGGUGGGCGGAAUUCGUGGUGUAGCGGUGAAAUGCUUAGAUAUCACGAAGAACUCCGAUUGCGAAGGCAGCUCACUGGACUGCAACCGACACUGAUGCUCGAAAGUGUGGGUAUCAAACAGGAUUAGAUACCCUGGUAGUCCACACAGUAAACGAUGAAUACUCGCUGUUUGCGAUAUACAGUAAGCGGCCAAGCGAAAGCAUUAAGUAUUCCACCUGGGGAGUACGCCGGCAACGGUGAAACUCAAAGGAAUUGACGGGGGCCCGCACAAGCGGAGGAACAUGUGGUUUAAUUCGAUGAUACGCGAGGAACCUUACCCGGGCUUAAAUUGCAGUGGAAUGAUGUGGAAACAUGUCAGUGAGCAAUCACCGCUGUGAAGGUACUGCAUGGUUGUCGUCAGCUCGUGCCGUGAGGUGUCGGCUUAAGUGCCAUAACGAGCGCAACCCUUAUCUUUAGUUACUAACAGGUUAUGCUGAGGACUCUAGAGAGACUGCCGUCGUAAGAUGUGAGGAAGGUGGGGAUGACGUCAAAUCAGCACGGCCCUUACGUCCGGGGCUACACACGUGUUACAAUGGGGGGUACAGAAGGCAGCUAGCGGGUGACCGUAUGCUAAUCCCAAAAGCCUCUCUCAGUUCGGAUCGAAGUCUGCAACCCGACUUCGUGAAGCUGGAUUCGCUAGUAAUCGCGCAUCAGCCACGGCGCGGUGAAUACGUUCCCGGGCCUUGUACACACCGCCCGUCAAGCCAUGGGAGCCGGGGGUACCUGAAGUACGUAACCGCAAGGAUCGUCCUAGGGUAAAACUGGUGACUGGGGC